rnacentral:rRNA from 1 species
CAUCCUCCAAGGCUAAAUACUCCUGACUGACCGAUAGUGAACCAGUACCGUGAGGGAAAGGCGAAAAGAACCCCGGCGAGGGGAGUGAAAAAGAACCUGAAACCGUGUACGUACAAGCAGUGGGAGCACAGGUUUACCUGUGUGACUGCGUACCUUUUGUAUAAUGGGUCAGCGACUUAUAUUCUGUAGCAAGGUUAACCGAAUAGGGGAGCCGGAGGGAAACCGAGUCUUAAUUGGGCGUUAAGUUGCAGGGUAUAGACCCGAAACCCGGUGAUCUAGCCAUGGGCAGGUUGAAGGUUGGGUAACACUAACUGGAGGACCGAACCGACUAAUGUUGAAAAAUUAGCGGAUGACCUGUGGCUGGGGGUGAAAGGCCAAUCAAACCGGGAGAUAGCUGGUUCUCCCCGAAAGCUAUUUAGGUAGCGCCUCGUGAAUUCAUCUCCGGGGGUAGAGCACUGUUUCGGCUAGGGGGCCAUCCCGGCUUACCAACCCGAUGCAAACUGCGAAUACCGGAGAAUGUUAUCACGGGAGACACACGGCGGGUGCUAACGUCCGUCGUGAAGAGGGAAACAACCCAGACCGCCAGCUAAGGUCCCAAAGUCAUGGUUAAGUGGGAAACGAUGUGGGAAGGCCCAGACAGCCAGGAUGUUGGCUUAGAAGCAGCCAUCAUUUAAAGAAAGCGUAAUAGCUCACUGGUCGAGUCGGCCUGCGCGGAAGAUGUAACGGGGCUAAACCAUGCACCGAAGCUGCGGCAGCGAACGUAUCACUUAAAGCGAUUCAGCGGGUUACGAUUGACGGAGCGAAGCGACGUCAAAGCGUAUACAAAGUCGAGUCGGUUUAAGGAUACGUUCGUUGGGUAGGGGAGCGUUCUGUAAGCCUGCGAAGGUGGCCUGUGAGGGUUGCUGGAGGUAUCAGAAGUGCGAAUGCUGACAUAAGUAACGAUAAAGCGGGUGAAAAGCCCGCUCGCCGGAAGACCAA